UACGAAGGGGGCUAGCGUUGCUCGGAAUCACUGGGCGUAAAGGGCGCGUAGGCGGCCAUUCAAGUCAGAGGUGAAAGCCCAAGGCUCAACCUUGGAAUUGCCUUUGAUACUGUUUGGCUUGAGACCGGAAGAGGUUAGUGGAACUGCGAGUGUAGAGGUGAAAUUCGUAGAUAUUCGGAAGAACACCAGUGGCGAAGGCGGCUCACUGGACUGGUAUUGACGCUGAGGUGCGAAAGCGUGGGGAGCAAACAGG
rnacentral:rRNA from 1 species